GAGGGUAUAGCUCAGUGGUGGAGCACAUGCUUAGCAUGCAUGACGUCGUGGGUUCAAUCCCCAGACCUCCA
rnacentral:tRNA from 1 species